CAGGCCUAACACAUGCAAGUCGAACGCUUCAUUAUAGAGUGGCGCACGGGUGAGUAACGCGUGGGAAACUGCCCUUCUGUUCGGGACAACGGCUGGAAACGGCCGCUAAUACCGGAUACGCCCUACGGGGGAAAGGUCCGCCGCAGAAGGAGGUGCCCGCGUCCGAUUAGCUAGUUGGUGAGGUAAGAGCUCACCAAGGCGACGAUCGGUAGCUGGUCUGAGAGGAUGAUCAGCCACACUGGGACUGAGACACGGCCCAGACUCCUACGGGAGGCAGCAGUGGGGAAUAUUGGACAAUGGGGGCAACCCUGAUCCAGCAAUGCCGCGUGUGUGAUGAAGGCCUUAGGGUUGUAAAGCACUUUCACUGGUGAAGAUGAUGACGGUAACCAGAGAAGAAGCCCCGGCUAACUUCGUGCCAGCAGCCGCGGUAAUACGAAGGGGGCGAGCGUUGUUCGGAAUUACUGGGCGUAAAGGGAGCGCAGGCGGUUCAUUCAGUUAGGCGUGAAAGCCCCGGGCUCAACCUGGGAACUGCGCUUAAUACUGAUGGACUAGAAAUCAGAAGAGGAUAGUGGAAUUCCCAGUGUAGAGGUGAAAUUCGUAGAUAUUGGGAAGAACACCAGUGGCGAAAGCGGCUAUCUGGUCUGAAUUU
rnacentral:rRNA from 1 species